rnacentral:rRNA from 1 species
GGUUAAGCGACUAAGCGUACACGGUGGAUGCCCUGGCAGUCAGAGGCGAUGAAGGACGUGCUAAUCUGCGAUAAGCGUCGGUAAGGUGAUAUGAACCGUUAUAACCGGCGAUUUCCGAAUGGGGAAACCCAGUGUGUUUCGACACACUAUCAUUAACUGAAUCCAUAGGUUAAUGAGGCGAACCGGGGGAACUGAAACAUCUAAGUACCCCGAGGAAAAGAAAUCAACCGAGAUUCCCCCAGUAGCGGCGAGCGAACGGGGAGGAGCCCAGAGCCUGAAUCAGUGUGUGUGUUAGUGGAAGCGUCUGGAAAGGCGCGCGAUACAGGGUGACAGCCCCGUACACAAAAAUACACAUAUUGUGAGCUCGAUGAGUAGGGCGGGACACGUGGUAUCCUGUCUGAAUAUGGGGGGACCAUCCUCCAAGGCUAAAUACUCCUGACUGACCGAUAGUGAACCAGUACCGUGAGGGAAAGGCGAAAAGAACCCCGGCGAGGGGAGUGAAAAAGAACCUGAAACCGUGUACGUACAAGCAGUGGGAGCACGCUUAGGCGUGUGACUGCGUACCUUUUGUAUAAUGGGUCAGCGACUUAUAUUCUGUAGCAAGGUUAACCGAAUAGGGGAGCCGAAGGGAAACCGAGUCUUAACUGGGCGUUAAGUUGCAGGGUAUAGACCCGAAACCCGGUGAUCUAGCCAUGGGCAGGUUGAAGGUUGGGUAACACUAACUGGAGGACCGAACCGACUAAUGUUGAAAAAUUAGCGGAUGACUUGUGGCUGGGGGUGAAAGGCCAAUCAAACCGGGAGAUAGCUGGUUCUCCCCGAAAGCUAUUUAGGUAGCGCCUCGUGAAUUCAUCUCCGGGGGUAGAGCACUGUUUCGGCAAGGGGGUCAUCCCGACUUACCAACCCGAUGCAAACUGCGAAUACCGGAGAAUGUUAUCACGGGAGACACACGGCGGGUGCUAACGUCCGUCGUGAAGAGGGAAACAACCCAGACCGCCAGCUAAGGUCCCAAAGUCAUGGUUAAGUGGGAAACGAUGUGGGAAGGCCCAGACAGCCAGGAUGUUGGCUUAGAAGCAGCCAUCAUUUAAAGAAAGCGUAAUAGCUCACUGGUCGAGUCGGCCUGCGCGGAAGAUGUAACGGGGCUAAACCAUGCACCGAAGCUGCGGCAGCGACGCUUAUGCGUUGUUGGGUAGGGGAGCGUUCUGUAAGCCUGUGAAGGUGUGCUGUGAGGCAUGCUGGAGGUAUCAGAAGUGCGAAUGCUGACAUAAGUAACGAUAAAGCGGGUGAAAAGCCCGCUCGCCGGAAGACCAAGGGUUCCUGUCCAACGUUAAUCGGGGCAGGGUGAGUCGACCCCUAAGGCGAGGCCGAAAGGCGUAGUCGAUGGGAAACAGGUUAAUAUUCCUGUACUUGGUGUUACUGCGAAGGGGGGACGGAGAAGGCUAUGUUGGCCGGGCGACGGUUGUCCCGGUUUAAGCGUGUAGGCUGGUUUUCCAGGCAAAUCCGGAAAAUCAAGGCUGAGGCGUGAUGACGAGGCACUACGGUGCUGAAGCAACAAAUGCCCUGCUUCCAGGAAAAGCCUCUAAGCAUCAGGUAACAUCAAAUCGUACCCCAAACCGACACAGGUGGUCAGGUAGAGAAUACCAAGGCGCUUGAGAGAACUCGGGUGAAGGAACUAGGCAAAAUGGUGCCGUAACUUCGGGAGAAGGCACGCUGAUACGUAGGUGAAGUCCCUCGCGGAUGGAGCUGAAAUCAGUCGAAGAUACCAGCUGGCUGCAACUGUUUAUUAAAAACACAGCACUGUGCAAACACGAAAGUGGACGUAUACGGUGUGACGCCUGCCCGGUGCCGGAAGGUUAAUUGAUGGGGUCAGCGCAAGCGAAGCUCUUGAUCGAAGCCCCGGUAAACGGCGGCCGUAACUAUAACGGUCCUAAGGUAGCGAAAUUCCUUGUCGGGUAAGUUCCGACCUGCACGAAUGGCGUAAUGAUGGCCAGGCUGUCUCCACCCGAGACUCAGUGAAAUUGAACUCGCUGUGAAGAUGCAGUGUACCCGCGGCAAGACGGAAAGACCCCGUGAACCUUUACUAUAGCUUGACACUGAACAUUGAGCCUUGAUGUGUAGGAUAGGUGGGAGGCUUUGAAGUGUGGACGCCAGUCUGCAUGGAGCCGACCUUGAAAUACCACCCUUUAAUGUUUGAUGUUCUAACGUUGACCCGUGAUCCGGGUUGCGGACAGUGUCUGGUGGGUAGUUUGACUGGGGCGGUCUCCUCCUAAAGAGUAACGGAGGAGCACGAAGGUUGGCUAAUCCUGGUCGGACAUCAGGAGGUUAGUGCAAUGGCAUAAGCCAGCUUGACUGCGAGCGUGACGGCGCGAGCAGGUGCGAAAGCAGGUCAUAGUGAUCCGGUGGUUCUGAAUGGAAGGGCCAUCGCUCAACGGAUAAAAGGUACUCCGGGGAUAACAGGCUGAUACCGCCCAAGAGUUCAUAUCGACGGCGGUGUUUGGCACCUCGAUGUCGGCUCAUCACAUCCUGGGGCUGAAGUAGGUCCCAAGGGUAUGGCUGUUCGCCAUUUAAAGUGGUACGCGAGCUGGGUUUAGAACGUCGUGAGACAGUUCGGUCCCUAUCUGCCGUGGGCGCUGGAGAACUGAGGGGGGCUGCUCCUAGUACGAGAGGACCGGAGUGGACGCAUCACUGGUGUUCGGGUUGUCAUGCCAAUGGCACUGCCCGGUAGCUAAAUGCGGAAGAGAUAAGUGCUGAAAGCAUCUAAGCACGAAACUUGCCCCGAGAUGAGUUCUCCCUGACUCCUUGAGAGUCCUGAAGGAACGUUGAAGACGACGACGUUGAUAGGCCGGGUGUGUAAGCGCAGCGAUGCGUUGAGCUAACCGGUACUAAUGAACCGUGAGGCUUAACCUU